rnacentral:rRNA from 1 species
GAUGAACGUUGGCGGUGUGCCUAAUACAUGCAAGUCGAACGGAGCUAAUAGCAAUAUUGGCUUAGUGGCGAACGGGUGAGUAACGCGUUGGUGAUCUGCCUUGAAGUGUGGAAUAACGUUUCGAAAGGAACGCUAAUACCGCAUGUGCUCUCGAUUUUCAGAAAGUUGAGAGUAAAGGAUUUAUUCGCUUCAAGAGGAGCCUGCGUCCCAUCAGCUGGUUGGUAGGGUAACGGCCUACCAAGGCUAUGACGGGUAGGGGACCUGAGAGGGUGGCCCCCCACAAUGGAACUGAAACACGGUCCAUACACCUACGGGUGCAGCAGUAGGGAAUAUUAGAAAUGGACGAAAGUCUGAUCUAGCAACACCGCGUGUGCGAAGAAGGCCUUCGGGUCGUAAAGCACUUUUUGGAAGGAAUAGGAAGGAAUGUACUUCCAGAAUAAGUCUCGGCUAACUACGUG